rnacentral:tRNA from 6 species
CAUUAGAUGACUGAAA